AUGAUACUGGCAUAUCAAAUCUAAAGACACUGGCCGCGCUCAGCAAAUAUUCUUCCACUGAGUCACAGACUCUGGAAGGUUUUCUGGUUUUCUUUCUUGUUCUUUCCUUAGACAAUUGUUACAUCAUGGUUACUAUGUAACUCAGGAUGGCCUCAAACUCACAAUGUGUUUGAGUUGGUCUCUUAGGUGCUGGAAUUACCGCUUUACUGAAAAGGCCAAAGCAGCAGGGCAGACUCCAUAUUGUCCUGCAAACUCCAUUUGAGCUGCUGUCCUUAGAGAGGCAUGGCCUCCAACCUUGGGUUCUGGGAAAGAGACUAGAAAAAGUUCCCAGCAGUUGAAAACAAACAUAACAUCUGUGGCCAGCUUGCAAUAACAGGAACAUGGUCACAACAACAGGAUGACUCAAGAAAACAUGAAUCAUUUCAAGGUCAAGAUGCCGCGGUUAGAUGUGUAGUUUCUCCUUGAGGCCUGAACAGAUACUAGGCCAAAAUCAGUUUAAAGAUGUGAUUGUGUUGUAUAAAUAGUAGUGGCCUAAAACUCAAUAUGUAGCCCAAGUCGGAUUCAAGCACACUGUUCUUCCACAUCAUGUAUCAUCAUCCUUGGUUCUGUGUAUACAGAUAUACAUUAUUGGAUCAGUUUCCACUGUGUGUGAGAGAGAGGGUGUAUGAUGACUGGAAUAUUGCUUGUCUGAACCAAACCUCAAGAUCAACCAAGCAUGGCAACACAUUCUUGUAAUCCCAAGAAGCAUGGGCAGGAGAAUCCUCAAAAGAGGGCAGACCUCAGCAACAGGGCUAGCUGGCUUACUCUGAUUGGUGGAACACAGGACAAAGGAUCUCUUCAGGCAUUGAACCUUGUUCUUACAGCCUUGUUCCUCGUAUCUAUGAAACUUAUUUCUUCACAAUGACUUCCCUAUGGUGAAGGACUACCCCCUUGAACCGUGAGCUAAAAUAAACCCUUCAUCCCCAAA